rnacentral:sRNA from 1 species
GCCACACGCCGUUUUAAGAGAAACCUGAGCGUUGGGGUGAGCGUCGGACCCGGGGGAGGGGGGCCGGGUCCAGGCACGUGGGUGGCGCCCUCACCCACCCUGUCCCCCCAGGAAGCAGGUCCUGGGGACCAAGGUGGACGCGGAGCGUGACGGCGUGAAGGUGCCCACCACGCUGGCCGAGUACUGCGUGAAGACCAAGGCGCCGGCGCCCGACGAGGGCUCAGACCUCUUCUACGACGACUACUACGAGGACGGCGAGGUGGAGGAGGCCGGCAGCUGCUUCGGGGAGGACGAGGAUGACUCUGGCACGGAGGAGUCCUGACACCACCAGAAUAAACUUGCGGAGUUUACCUCACUAGGGCCGGACCCGUGGCUCCUUAGACGACAGACUACCUCACGGAGGUUUUGUGCUGGUCCCCGUCUCCUCUGGU